GCACAAGGCUGGAGUGAAGUGUGUAGUCAAGAUCCUGUUGACGAUAUUCUCUCUCCUUCUUCAUUUCUCUUGCUCAUGGAAGAAAUAAACUUUAAGAUGUUCUACUCAAAGAAACUUCUGUGCUUUUUCUCUCAAGGUCAUAUAUCCCUGUAUCAGAUAGCAACACAGCUUCAGCAAUAACAGCAGAUGCCAUCUUAGAUUAAUGCAUUUGAAGUUUACUCCUCUUUUAUGAAGAUCCAGACUUCUGAAAAUAAUUCAUCUGGAAAAUAGGAAACUCUUCGAAAGUAGACCAUCAAUCACUGAGCAUGUACAUGAAAUGACCUUCAUGUCUGUUUUUUGUUCUACAUAAUUUCCCUCUCCUUGGACAAAUUCUUUAAGGU